UUAAGAGAAUCAAUUUUUUUUACUGGGAAUUGUAGGACUUUAGCCGAUAAAGGGAGUCCUUCCAGAAAUUCUCGAUGGCCAAGGGAGACCCAAGGCCAAGGAGGGGGUUUGGAAAUAGUUUUCAACCAGCAAUUGACGCGCCUCGGUUAUUACCUCAUUAGCUGCGUCAUUGCCCCAAGCGCAAAGAUGCUUAAUCCGUUACCCCUUCGCCUCUUUUUAUAUCACACCACCCCUCUUCCCUUUCAUAUGCUCCAUCCGAUGUGGGACUCCUAAACAAUGGCAACUGAGUGCUCUUUUCAAGGAUCCAAGUCGAAAGGUCUUGUUUCGGCUAAUCCAUUCAUAAGCGAUGAUGGUGAUUUCGAAAUUGUGGCUACGUAUGCUGGUGGAAAAUUAGGGUUUAUGAGGACUGGCGAUCGAUUCACGAUGCUGUCUAUCACAAGGGCUAGUAAGCAGGUAUAACCCUAAUGUUGUGUUAACAAAGCUUUUCAUGUUUAGAUGGAAAAAGCUGAGAGCGGUUGAAUAAGUGUUGUUACGGGUCAGAUUAUGUCGACUCAAAAUGCUUGUUGCACGUCCUUUUAUAUAAUUAAUGUGUUAAAUAGAACUAGAUGGGGACAAUUGUUUUCCGUUGUUUGUUCAUUGUAAAUGUCAUCCAAUCAAAAUACGUAUAUACCCAUUGUUAUUUACAAACUUCGCCACAUUUAGAUAUAGGAACAUCCAUUCUAAUAACAACUUUUGCAGCCUGACUAAUGGUUGUUUUUAUGCAACUUAAGUCCUUCAUUGUCUCCUUGAAUCAUGAAUUCCUCCAUAUGCUGACAUUUAAAAAAAAAAUGAGUGUUACUAUUACACACGAAUCAAGAAUCUGAAAAUGUAUAAAAAUAAAUGGAUUUUACUUCACAUAAAGCGGUUCCAGUUCCGGUUACGACAUCCUAGGAACGAACAAUAGUUUCUUUUCCACCCUGAAUUGGAUGCUAAAACUGUAUUUAUUCACCAUUUAUAGCAUUGUACUUUCCAAUUUAUCAGUUUAUGCAACAAAAUAGUUUCCUACAUAUGAUUUCCACCUACAUUUCAUUAUAAGACCAAAACCGUGAAUAUUGCAUAAAUUGGUAAACAAAAAAGCACAACAUUGUUGCAUAAAUGGUAAAAAUGUGAAUCAUUCUUGCAUAAAUUGGGAAGAAAUAAAACACUAACAUAAAUAAACAUUCGACCGGUCAAACUUUUUAAAUAUAAAAAUAGCAUGAAGGGGCAGUUUGGUCAAAAAAUAUUAAAAUCAUUUUUUUUUAAUUAUAAAAACAAUAUGCUGGAGCAUUUUGGUCUGAUGUUGUUAGAAUCAUAAAUUUCUAACUAUAAAAAAUAGCAUGCAGAGGUAGUUUACAGAACUGUUUGCCCAAAAAACUUUGUAUUUGAUUUUAAACCAAAAAACUUAGGUUUCCACAAGGCUCAUUUAUGAAAGAAUCUGGGAUUCGGUAAUACACACUUUGAAAUCCUCCUCUCAUGAUUUUCCUUCCUGAAUAUCUGCAUAAAAUUAGAGAAUAAACUAUGAAGUAGCUAAUUAAAUUUUAUUGUAUUCCUAAUAGCAUGAAAGUAUGUUUUAUAGCACUAUAGUUUGCAUCGAUUUAAAAAAGAAAACUAAAAACUUGAGAAAAUUAAAAGAUUCCAUUUAAUGAAUUUAUAUUAAAAAAAUAAAAAAAUCUAGAUCAAUUUUAUUUAGAUUACAAAAUGGCAGCUUGACUUUAUGUAUAACCAAAUCAAACACCAAUUGAGAGUCAUUUUCGCUCCUUUUAACAAAACUAACAUAUAUGGUCCCUGUAUAUUGAACAAAAAUGGGCAAAUUGAUAAAAAUGGUGAAAAUGAAUUCUUUGACCAAAAAAAUUAUAUUUCCUGUUUUAAGAGUUUCAUAUUAGAUAUUUUUUUUGUUUUCUGUUUAAAUGGGUCAAUUAACGAAAAAAAACUCCGUUAAAAUUACCAAAUUGGAUAAAAAGGUCAAAAUGAUCAUUUUAACUAACAAAUUAAAAAAAAAAAAUCAAACUUUCUGAACAUCAAAUGCUUGAUAAGAAUGAGGACUGAAAUUUUGACUUGAACCAAAGAAAAAAUAGAUUUUAACCUGAGCUGCAGUGGUUGUCAAUUGACCAAAUUCUUUUGAACAUAUUUAUAAAUUCAUGUAAUGUUACUAUACAGCAAUGUCACAACUUUUUACAACGAACAUUACAAAUUUAAAAAAGAAACAAAUAGACAUAAUUGAUAAUACCAUUUUUAACAAAGCAUAAAUAAUGUAUUAAGAAAUUUUUUAAAGAGCUGAAAUUACCUUUACUUAUGGGCACAACAGGGAGACCAUACCAGAACUCUCUCUUUUCUCACUACGUUUCCCACAUUGACCGGUAACUAUAACCUAAUUCAACAUUAAAUAUAAAAGAUUUUAGUCUUUGAAUAUUUCCCUUCAACACAUUUUUUGGUUAAUAAACGAAAAACUAUUUUAGAUAAGCUCAAAAUUGGCUGAAAUUUCAAAGAAAAAUAUACCUGAUGUUGGAGUUCAUUAAGCUGGAUUUCCUACUGCAUAAUUGCCUCCAACGUGUGAAAAUGUAUCCAUUGUAUUGAUCCCUAUGUUGAAGAAUGGCACCUACAACAGUCAUGAUUAAUUGCAAAAAGGGUAAGUAAGGAAUAAAAGUAUCAGUUAAGAAUCUUAGGGUAUGUUUGGAAGCAGAAUUUGGAAAUCCAGAUUUCAUUCCACCAUGUCGUCACUAUAUUCUCGGACAUUACAUUCCCUUCUAACAUCAAAACCCCUGAAAACAUAGUUAGCAGAAAGAUUAAUCAGAUAACAUAAAGCCCCCUUAAGUCCUAACUCCUCACACACAGCAAAACAAAAGUGUGAACAAAAAAUUCAGCUUAAAUAGUUAUACAAUUAGAUAAAAAAUGAAAAUAAAUAAGCUAAUGGAGAAAGCAUCGCUGAUCAGAAAGCUACCAGAUGGUGUGGCUGAACAUAUUUUCUUCGAAAAUUCAUAUCCAACCUGCUGACAGUUAAUCAAUGUUUAUCAAUAAAUAUAAUGAUCAUAUAGAAUCCCAUAUACAUGCAAACACGAUUUGUUGAAAUUUUGAACUGUUUCAGAUGUAUUGAUAUGAAAAUGGACAAUCGGAAUAUGCUUUUGUGAGGGUAAAAUGACCCAUAUCCACCAAAUUUUGGCUCUGUGAAGAAAUUUAUUAUAAAGUUGUUCAGAAUAUAUGAUACAACAACAAAUUAUACAUCAAAUUCAAGCACUCUAUGCAAUAAACGCAUUAAAACCCUAAUUACACCGGAGUUUACUGGUAUCCUACAACAAUAGUUGAUUCAAGUGAGUUUUUUGGUUAAUCAAUUGAAAAUUAAGGAAAGAAACAUACCGAUUGGCGCGUGAUGUGCAUAAGCCAGUUGAAAUUUUGGAUAUGCUUCGAAAAGCAUGUACCGGUAGCUUCCCUCGCUUAAUCUGGCGGUGAGGACGGGGAAUAACGGGGAAUACGAUUUGGGUUUUGGAGUCGCUAUCUACGACUGCAUCAAUCUCCCCCACGGUGGA